rnacentral:tRNA from 1 species
CCGCGCGUGGCGCGGGCGGCGCUGACGCUGCUGGAGCGGCUGGGCUGUCGCGUGGAGGUCCCGCUGGAUCAGACCUGCUGCGGGCA